rnacentral:rRNA from 1 species
UACAGAGGUCCCAAGCGUUGUUCGGAUUCAUUGGGCGUAAAGGGUGCGUAGGUGGCGCCGUAAGUGGGGUGUGAAAUUUCGGAGCUUAACUCCGAAACUGCAUUCCAUACUGCGGUGCUUGAGGACUGGAGAGGGGACUGGAAUUUACGGUGUAGCGGUGAAAUGCGUAGAUAUCGUAAGGAAGACCAGUGGCGAAGGCGGGUCUCUGGACAGUUCCUGACGCUGAGGCACGAAGGCCAGGGGAGCAAACGGG